UCCAGCAUCUUGUUCCUGAAGCUGAACCAAACACUCAGACUCACUCUAUCAAUUCUCAUCACCAUGAAGAUGAUGUUGACCAUCUCUCUGCUCCUCAGUGUUGGCUUUGCACUAGCUGAUGCAAUGUCUGUUCCGGAAUUGAGAAACGACCUGAACAGACCAGGUUGGAAGGUCAUCAAGAACUGUGUGAAAGUGACAACGACCAUGGUGGAGGAGUUUGACAACAUGCCGCCGCAGAAGAAGGAGACGGUUCAGAUCUUCGGGGGACCAGAGUGUGAGAACGACAACGAGAGAAGCAAAAGAGGAUUUGUUCGCCUCGGCCGACAACUCUCCAAUUACUGAAGCCUUGAGUAGCGUCACCUGGGGAAGACUGGCCUGUCCUCCCCAGUUGACAUACGUGGCCCUUGACUGUGGGUAUCCGGUGACAGUGGAGGAUCCAGUACAGUGACGACGACGUGGGAUAAUCAUGAAUUAGAACGUUCAAUUAAAUGCAUUGGAUUCACUCCAACUACUGUCUGUAUCUGAAAAGUGACACCCUAUGUUUUGCAGAUUUCUGCAGUUUUGCAGACUCUGGCCAUACUGUAAUGUAUAUGAAUACAGUAUUGAAAAGUAACCUUGAAUAAUCAUAAUGUAUGUUAACGCUCACAUUUAUCAUGUUACGUUGGAUAUGUCUGUUAUGGAAUAUUUCUAAUAUGGAAUACUUCUAAUA